CUUCUGAAAACAGCCAAAGAUGGCUUUGUGCAUAUUGCUUAUAUAUGCUAUAGGCCCAACUCCUUUUCGGUGUGUAAUGUAGCAGCUACCUUCCUCUCAUAUCUCUCUUCUCUUCAGGUCAACUCAAAUCAAAACAUACUCUUGGGAUAAUGCCCAGGUUAUUUUGGUCGGUAACAAAUGUGACAUGGAGGAUGAGCGGGUAAUCUUCACUGAGAGAGGCAAACAUUUAGCAGAGCAACUUGGUUUUGAAUUUUUUGAAACAAGUGCCAAGGACAACAUUAACGUCAAGCAGACAUUUGAGCGACUCGUGGAUAUCAUCUGUGACAAAAUGUCGGAAAGCUUGGAGACAGAUCCCACCAUUACUGCCGGCAAGCAGAACACACGGCUAAAGGACACCCCCCCUCCACAGCAACCCAACUGCGGCUGUUAAUGCAGCCAUCAACCAAGGCAGCUCCGGUCUGUUCUAUUGCCAACAGAGUAUUUAUGAAUGGUCUAUAUGCCUUUAUUUAUACUGUCUUAUUAAAUUAUUUGGGAGAAGAGUCUUUUAUUUUAGAUCAACAGCUGGUUGAGUAUGUGUAUGGAGAUGUUAGCAUUAGUUUGUGAGGAUGAUCCUUUUUUAGCAUCUGGCUUUUGCAUGCAGGGUGGCUAUUAGUUUCUCUUUUCCUUUUGUUGUUUUACAUUACACUUACUUCAGCUGGUGCAAUGUCCUCAGAUCACAUUUGCCUAGAAUUGUUUCUUGCUUCUUCAGUUUCAAAUGAUAUGCUUGAAUCCUUAGGGUAGUGGCCAAGGUAUUUCAGAAUAAGCUUCCUGAAGCUACUUAUAUUUUUUUCGUGACUGAAAAUCAAUUUAGAAAUAUUACUCUAGUGAGCUAAUUGCUCAUUCUGUCCAGAACAUUUGUACAAGGGAAACUUCCUGGAGCAUAAUGCCUUGGCAAAUCUGAGCUCACUUAUCUUACACACCAUGCCUGCUUGGAAACGGCAGGAGUUAGAAAGGGCAAACCUCCAGCCUAGCCAGACCCAAAGCUCCCAGGUUUACAGCAAAGAAACCCCCUGGGAGUUUCCCGCUAAGUGUGGGUGUUCAGUCCAGAUCAUCAGAGAUAUUAGGCACUUCAUCCUGUUUAGACAGCUAAUAUAUUUACAUUUCCAUGGGAAGUGCAUGCCUAAUAUCUUUCUGAAACUGAACUUAAUUUGUGGUUGCAUCAUUAGAGAGAAUCUGCCAAGAUCUGCCCCAGUAGAGGAGGGCUGACUAACUCUUUUCAAUUCUACCUGCGUUAGGUAAUAAAGUUCUGCUUUUACCCCGACAAAGCCAAAUCCAUUAUGCUCAUAUUUAUAGCCAAAAACUGUCCUGUCAUGUUGCUGUCAAAUCUGCAUAUUUAAGCUUUCAGGAAUUUCAUCUUCCAUUCAGUCACUGAGAAACAUCACUACACUGACUACAAAGGCCAGACCCAUCAUAGAGAUGCUGCUGAUGUCAGUGAGUUGGAGUAUGACUUCAUUUUUACUUUGCUGAGGGUAUUUUUUUUGACAGGACAAUCAGAAAUUCACAAGCUUUUUAAAAGCUUUAGGAGUAAUAAAUAAUUAUCAACAUUUCUGGAGAUAGACUGAAUAAAAUCAUAAACUCAGCAAAAGGUUGUGAGACAGCAGAAUACAGUCCACAAAUUCUUUCUUUAAUAAAGUGUUAAAAUAGUCACAUGCCACAAUGCUAAAAAGUACUCACCGUAGUAAUUAGAAGGCAGUUUCUUACGUCUGUGCCCUGUGGUAUACUGCUUUAUUUGGGUCACAGUGACAUUUUUUAACUAAAUAGCGUAAUUGAGAAAGCACUAACUGUUUUAUUGUACCUAUUAGACAGGCUUUAGGAUGAGGCUGACAUUUCUCAAACUGUCUGCAACAGGAAAAAAAAAAGGAAGAGAAAUGAAAAAUGAAGGCAACACUAGGUAAUGUAAGUUGGCAGCAACUGCAAAGAAAUCCCUUUUCACAUAUUACUUUUUUCAAAGGUAAUUUAUAUAAACUCCUCAAAUACAGUAAGGGAAAAUGGACACUUUUUCAUUGGUUAACUAAUAUGCAUAAACUCUAACAUGGUGAAAACCACUUCUAAGCAAGGCAUGUAGACACAUGUAAAAUGGGUGUGCCAUCAGGGCUUUACUUUGACUGUAUAACUUAAAUUAUAAAUGUAUUCUCUUCAUUCUAGGGUUUUAAACCGUGUCAGUGUCCUGUUAGCUAGUACCUUUGGCAACUAUUUUCCUCUUAGACAUGGAGGCUGAACAUUCAUUCAUUUACUUCCAUGAAGAGAAAGCACUGUGCUCUUUGGGGCAGAUGAGCAAUCAGGUAGAAGAGGCAUGUGCUACCCCAGCCUUAACCCUGCGUCUCUCCAGGGACACUGUUCUUCUCUCCCCCAUCUAAGAUAGCACUUUGGUAACUGUGGUGUGAGACCUUCAGCAAUAUGCCUUCACCCACCAGGUGCCAACUGCUUUGGAGGAACUGAAAAGAAACUGAGGGAGUUUUGUGUGAGAGGGUGGUCAGCUUUCCACCGUAUGCUUGCUAUGUGUAGUAAUGCCUGUUGGAGAAAAGGGAGCAAGGAAACCUUGAGACAGCACUCAGCUGCAGCCCUCGUUCUUUCAGAAAAUGUGUAGAUUGUAUUAUUAGUCCAAACCUUCCUCAUGCAAGGAAGGCAAGGGAAAAGGAGGACACUGUCGCAUCUUAAAUCAGCCUGCACAUGUCCUGGGACAUGCAGCUCUGCUGCAGGUGCAAGUAUUCUCCCAGCUUUGCUCUGGGAUGAUGGCUGCAUGGCCAUCACCGGUGCACAUUGUAACAAGACCUUCUUUCAGCCCCUUGCAACAGCCACAUCUUGCUUGCGCUCAGUUGCAAUGAAUUCCAGACCUUCACUGCCUCCUUAUAGCAAUGUAGACUCUAGUCAGUGGUGGCAACUAGAAGAGUAAUGUGUGUUUGUAGUAUAGAUCUUUUUUAAGAAGUUGAGUGAUAGAUUGAUAUUUCUUUACUGAAAUAUGAAGAACUAAUUGCUUCUCAUUUUGCAUCAAGGGACUGGACAGAAGAGUAACAGGGAAAUCAAAGAGGGGGAAUCUUUCCUUCUGUUUUUUGAGAUAACUAACCUCCCAGACUUCCCAUCUGUCUAAUCCUCUGCAUGCAAUGAGGAGGAAGGGGGAAGCUGCAACAACACUAUUGUUCUUUACGCUGGCAGCCAUGGGUUCGGACGAAAAGGCUCAUCUGAGGUAUAAAAGUAGUAGAACCCACUCGCUAGAUAAGAACUCCUAAGACCUUUUUAUUGACAUUCAGGCACUACCAUAGAGUUUAGAAUUGAUUAGAUUAAUUUUUAAAGUGUUCACAUCAGUUCCUUGGAGGUUUUCAAGCCCAGACUGGAUAAGGCCCUGAGCAACAUGAUCUGGCUUAUUAGUUGACAUUGUUUUGAGCAGGAAGUUGGACUAGAUGACCUGUUGGAAGUCCCUUCCAACCUGAUUUAUGCUAGCAUAAGAACAGGAAAUUACUAUGAAAUUACAAAUAUCUGGAUGCUCAGGCAGACCUUUUCUGAACAAUCUCUGUUACCUAGUGUUAGAAAACUACACUUUGAUUUUCCAUCAGGUUGAGUAGGCUGGCUUUUGCAACCAUGUGUUUCGCAGCAGUCCUGAGUUUUUUAUUAUAAAUUUUGUUCAGAUUUAGACAAGAAGCAUCAUGAUCGCAGUACCCCUCCUUUCAGUUCUCAGCUGGAACUAUUUUAGAGAAACCCCAAAACCACAGUCUUUUUCAAAGUAAUUUACUGUUGCUUCCUCAAACAUUCUAAAACUUUAGUGUGAGUUCUGGGGGAACUAGCAGUUCUACUUUAAAUUAUGUCUUGGCCUGUUUGAUAUGGUUGGAUUUCCAAAAGCAGUUUGUGUCGGUCUAAUUCUGUUACCACUGACUUCUGUGAUAGAACAGCAAUUUUCUUAAAUGAAAAGCGACUAGUUAGCGACUACUGAGCACUUUCAGAAAUCCCAUCCCAACCUUAUCAAGGUCAAGAUUUAAACAUGCAGUCACACAUAUCUAAUAGCCACUGAUUAUGAGCUAGUCAUUGGAGAAGACAGAAGCAGAAUUUGGUAAGAUCCCUGAUCUAACCACAGCUGUAGCAGAGUUCUGUCAAGAGCAAGUUCCAGGCUAGCAAAAGAUACAUUUUAGUGAUACAAGAGGGAUGGAUCAUUAAAUUGACUACCUGGAAUAAGACAGCCCAAACUAUUUUCAGCCUCGUCACAAUUCCUGAUGGAAAAGCACUCACAUGGUAAAGCCCAGUACACUUUGCACCAAUUUGUUGUCACUCUCAGCACAGAAAUAGGACCAAAUGUCAUGGAAGCCAGCCACAGGUAACCACUUCAGCUGAGGUUUGGUCAGAUGCAGCAGUUGAGACACAGAGCGUGUCAAAUUUCUGAGAGAUUAGAUGCCUCUCGGCAGAGGGUCCUGAGCUCCAUAGUGCCAGCUGGACUAAUACUGUACAACCCAUUUUCUGAGUUAUGAUCUAGACUAAUAAAUACUAUUAGUGGCAAGCUAAUCCUGUGCAUGGCUAGUACACCAGCCUUGUCUUGCUCUGACAGUAUCUUGCUUGUUGCAUGAUCCAACUAGCACAGGGAAAAUUCCAGGGGAGCGCCGGGGAGCGCAGCCGCGCCAGCACCGGCAGCGCUCCCUGGCCUGCCACUGCCAGCUAGUAAGCCUUGCAGAGCUGAACCUGCACAUGCAUGUUGGCAAUUCCGAUAAGAGUUCAUGUACACAAACAUCCUGGUCCUUACAGAGCUAUUAACAUGUUACUCUAUUAAUUCUUUAUGGUUGGUUUGAUUUAGUUAGACCUAUUUGUUUGGUGUUUGAAAUACAUACCAGCCAGCCUGAUUUUCUGUCAAAAAAUACUCUUUCUCUGAACUGCUGUGUACGUGACUGUUACCUGGAACUGUUUGUUCCAUUGUGCUUAUCCUUAAUGUAUGCAUAGAGAAACUACCUGAGCAACAGUUAUGUGGCCUUUCCAGAGCAUCAGUCUGAAAAAUAAGGUUUUCUUCCCAGUCUGCUCAGCUCUGUAUAUCCAGCUGUACUGCCUGAACCGUCUUUAUUUUAGGAAUGAAGUGCUAUUUUAUGGUGCACAAAGUCUGCUGGAGUUUGAUCCUAACUUUGACAAUGCUUUGAGUUCAAUUCUCUUUUUUAGGAAACAAAUGAUGGUACAAAUUCUUUAUCUGAUGAUGACAGCUUUGCUUCUUCAAUAGCAGACAAAAGGUGCUGUAGUUACAUUUCAAAAGAGGCCCCAAAAAACUCAAAAAACCAAUCUCCCCCUUAAACUACUCUUUACUGCAUUCAUUCGUGAGACACAAGUUUUGUUAUUGGCAUUUUUAAGGGCAUCAACUAAAUAACUGCUCUGCUGUUAGGACAGAUCCCUCCUUGGCCUGUUUCAUAGGUAGCCAUGCAGUAUACAAGCCAAGAGUCUCUUUAGCGUGACUUGUUCAGAAUUUGUGGCAUAAAGCCAUGAGGUUGUAAAUCCUCAUAGGCAUACCCUCAGGGGGUGUAAAGCAACAUACCUUCACUUAUGCCAACGGGAGGUAUGAAUUUUGUUGAUUUACACCAUUUAAUCCAUACACAUAGUCUCUUCAGUACAGUUUGACUCCAGAUCCUCCAAGGUUCUUAAUUUGGUAAGGUCUCAAUUUAAGAGGCAACUCAGUUUCAAAAUUUUAAUUUUUUUGUCAGUUUUCUUUACUAAAUGAGUUGGGAAAAUGUAUUUCAUCCUUGUGAUUUAAGCUUUUUUCUGUUUUUCUUCUUUUUUUAAUUUUGUUUAUCCAUGGAUGUUCACUCAAGCAGAAAUUGCAGCUACACACGUAUAGUAUGCAUACACAGCAGUAUGUCUUUGACACUCAUUCAGUUCCCUUGUAGGAACUGAAGUAGCAGUUCAGUGCUACUUGUUCAUGCUCAGUGCAGCUUUCCCUAAAUACCAUAGUGGAAUUUAACCAGAAAUUCCCAUUAGCACUAGAAAUCAGCUGGGUUAAAUUUACAGACUGUAGGGUUACUAUUAUCCACAGUUCCAGCAGGCAUCAAUGGCAUGUCAUUUAUAGAGUAAGGUAUCUGGUAUUUGAUUUUGGGGGAAGCAUACAUUCUAAUCUUCCCAUAACUUCACGAUCAUGCGUAACAUGCAGAAAUAAAAGCUAGGGAUUGCUUACUACUUUUAGUGAUAAAUUUCCUUGAGUAAUCCUGACAUGUACCUGCAACUGGUGUUAAAUGAAAUCUGUCUGUGUUGUAAUUCUCAUUUAAUAUGUUGUCAAUAAUGUCAAAUGUGUCGUGGUUCAGUUGGACUAUCAAAAUAUGUAAUCUAUAUACUAGUGUUUGUGAAACUGAAAUGUCUUAAAUGUUGCAUGAAAAUAUGUUAUAAAAAUAGAUAUGUUUUCUAUUUUUUGAAUACCUCAAACCUGAGGGAACAUGGGCCAAUAAGUGCAAUAUUUAAUGACUUACUCAGUGUAUAUAAACUUGUGUGAAAGGGAGAAGUGUCACGUAUGUGUGAUAAGCUGUUGAUGAUGCCUGUGUGGCUUAAAAGUUUUCUAGUAGCUGUGUGUGUCUUGUAGUAAAAUUUAUAUAGUAAAUGCUUUACCAGUGUAGUGUAAGAAUACUCUAUUCUUAAGCCAUUUAAACUAUUUUUCAUAUGUGAGACAAUGGUAAAAGAUAUCUAUAUGUUUACUGCAAGUGCAUGUCAAUUUUACUUUUAGAAUUGUGAGUGUCCUUUUCGAAAAUUAUAUAAUGUUAUAUUGAUAGUAGUGGGGCAACCCUUUCAGUCAGAAGAUACUUGUAGCCAUUUCUAUCCUAUCCGCAUAGAUUUUUAAAGCAUGUUCUCCAGAAGCAUUAAAGGAACCUUCCUAGAAUUCAGCACUUACAGGGAGUUAUUUACUCCUAAAAGAACUGGUUACAUGCUCUGUCUGCCUGCAGUGCAUAAUAUCAUGUGGAAAUGUUUUCUUUAAUCUGAUACAGUUAAUACAUAAUACUUACCUGAAAUAUUAAAUACGCGUAUCCAGUACUCUUGCAGAUGACUUGGUAAGCUUCAGUGGGUGCCUUCAGUUCACAUUUUUGGAAACAGUUUGUGAGUCACAGUCAAAAUGGUCCAGCACAGCGGAUGGUGACCUUAAUCAAUCUUCUGUCCAUUAAGUUUCUUAACUGCCUUUAGAUCCUGAAGGUGGAAAAUGCCUUCCUAAAAUACUGACCCAGACUCUUCCCUCCACUGUUACCCAACUCUCAAGUGCUGAACAACCCUACUGUUAGCAGUAAAGUUGCAGUACAUUAUGGGAACAAAAUGCAGCCCAGAACCCAACUGUGCAACGAAAAGGAGGCAUCCAAUCAUUUCUUGUUCCUUUCCUGUUAGCCUUACGUAUUUCUCAUAAUUCUUCAAGCAUGAGAGUAAGCCUGUCUCUGUUCAGUAAAAAUCUUAAGUACAUUUGUGGCUUUAAACUCUGAAUCCCUGGACUGCCAGGGGUUCCUAGCUGUGCCUAGAGACUCUUCAGAGAAGAAGCUGAUUCUGUUAAUUGUUGCUGCAUCUCUGGUUUCAAAGGAACGAGACGUGCUCUGGGAAUUUUCUAAAUAGAGACAGGCCACUGAAUCUCGGCCAAGGAGAGUAACCAUUUUUGCUGAACAAUUUUCCCAACAAAUUGUUUUCAUUAGUACCACACUAAAAGGUGCAUAAGUAGAUUUUGAGUUUGAUCUGAUAUAUUUUUGUGACAAUGUAGAAGGUUGACUUAGGCUUUUUGUUUUUUUAAUUAACCUGAUCAGGAAAAGAACUAAACUCUAAGGCCUGCUGGAAACCAGUAGCGUGGUUUCCUUUACUAUAUCGUCAGAUAAUUUCUCUGAGCAAGCAAAGUAGCCAGAUUGCAUUAAGGAGCACACAAACAGUACUUGCUAUGACCUGAGCAGCUCUUAAAAGGCUUCCUUAUUUCUAUAUUUUAUGCUAUGAAACCAUAUGCAAAAUUUAAUAGACCAGAGUUUAAUGAAAAUGUGUUUUGAGAGAGAUUUAAGAUUGCUUAAAGAAAAGAAAAAAGAAAAAAAGAAAAUUCUGGAUGUCUUUGCAGCUGAGCAGCAGACAAAGUAACUGUCAUAAUAUGAGGUACAACUUAAAUAUAGAUAUACAGGCUGCCACAGGACUGAGGAUGCAUUACCUAGAUUUUUUACUGCUAAGUGACCUGACUGUUCAAGGGCUGGCAGAUAAUUUUACCUGGUAUUUUUAUUAUUCCUCAGAGACAUGUGAUUGCAUAAACAAAAACAAAUGCUUACCUUGAAAAUAUGUAGCUGUUCUGGCUUCCUCAAGCUGACUUACUUACUGACUAUUUCUUGAAGAAAAGUUGAAGAACUUACUUGGAAUACAUUUGUGAGGGAGUGAGCCUCAAUCCAUCCCUCCUCCCCCAGCUAUUACUGCAGUAUAGUGACUGUGGUUCUAAAAAAAAUAUGUUAGUUUAAAAUGCUGCCGGGUGACAAAUGUUGUGAAUCUUCUGCAUACAUCCAUGGGAGCUCUUGUCUGAACGUGAAGUACAAGUUUUAUCCAUGUGCAGAGUUUUAAUUCUAUGUGGAAGUAGAGACUGUGUACUCCAUUGGCUAUUCUGUUUGUAUGUGACUUCUGUAUACCAAGUGGAUUUUGUUUGUUUAUUUUUUGUUGGAGUUUUUUUUUCCUUUUGCGAUUACAAUAAAUAUUCAAGAGACUAUAUUCAUGAA